AUUGAACGCUGGCGACAGGCCUAACACAUGCAAGUCGAACGAGUGGCGGACGGGUGAGUAAUGUCUGGGAAACUGCCUGAUGGAGGGGGCUAACUACUGGAAACGGUAGCUAAUACCGCAUACCAUCGGAUGUGCCCAUAUGGGAUUAGCUAGUAGGUGGGGUACAGGCUCACCUAGGCGACGAUCCCUAGCUGGUCUGAGAGGAUGACCGGCCACACUGGAACUUGGACACGGUCCAGAGUCUUACGGGGGGAAUCAGUGGGAAAUAUUGCACAAUGGGCGCAGGCCUGCUGCAGCCAUGCCGGGUGUAUGAAGAGGGCCUUCGGGUUGUAAAGUACUUUCAGCGGGGAGGCGUUACCCGCAGAAUAAGCACCGGCUAACUCCGUGCCAGCAGCCGCGGUAAUAC
rnacentral:rRNA from 1 species